AACUGCAUUUUAACCAUGACACUGUGCUGUCUCACAUGACACAGAUAUAAGGGUCUCUCCACAUUCUAACUACAUGGAGGACAGUUCCUGACUAACAUUUUGCUGAGUUGAAGUAUAUUGAAGAAAAUACAGCUUCACAAAGAUAUAUUUGGGAAAUGGAAAGGUUAAAAUAAAUCAAAAUAAAAAACAACAAAAGUUGCUUAAGCUGAAACAUUUCCUCCCCAUCAAUCCUAUACACAUCUAAGGAAAUUAAACCAUCCUACACGGUGUUGCUCA